AAGUCGUAACAAGGUCUCCGUAGGUGAACCUGCGGAGGGAUCAUUACCGAGUGUUAGGUGGCGUAUGCCGCCGACCUCCAACCCUUUGUUAAACCAAACCGCGUUGCCUCGGGGGGCGUCUCGCCGUCGCCGGCGAGCACCCCCAGAGGACUACUUAACUCUGCGUCUUUGCGUCGGAGUAUUGAAUAACAAAUCAAUCAAAACUUUCAACAACGGAUCUCUUGGUUCUG
rnacentral:misc_RNA from 1 species